rnacentral:rRNA from 1 species
GACGUAGGUGGCGAACGUUAUCCGGAAUUAUUGGGCGUAAAGGGUGCGUAGAUGGCUUGACAAGUUAGUGGUGGGAAAUCGAGGCUCAACCUCGUGGAAGUCACUAAUACUAUCAAACUAGAGUGCAGGAGAGGUUAACGAAACUCCAUGUGUAGCGGUAAAAUGCGACGAUAUAUGGAUGAACACCAAUAAAGGCGAAGGCAGUUAACUAUUCUGCUACUGACAUUGAGGGCACGAAAGCGUGGGGAGCAAAACGG